rnacentral:rRNA from 1 species
ACGAACGCUGGCGGCGUGCCUAAUACAUGCAAGUCGAACGCUGAAGGAGGAGCUUGCUCUUCUGGAUGAGUUGCGAAGGGGUGAGUAACGCGUAGGUAACCUGCCUGGUAGCGGGGGAUAAGUAUUGGAAACGAUAGCUAAUAUCGCAUAACAGUAGAUGUUGCAUGACAUUUACUUAAAAGGUGCAAUUGCAUCACGAUAAGAUGGACAUGGGGUGUAUUAGCUAGUUGGUGGGGUAACGGCUCACCAAGGCGACGAUACAUAGCCGACCUGAGAGGGUGAUCGGCCACACUGGGACUGAGACACGGCCCAGACUCCUACGGGAUGCAGCAGUAGGGAAUCUUCGGCAAUGGACGGAAGUCUGACCGAGCAACGCCGCGUGAGUGAAGAAGGUUUUCGGAUCGUAAAGCUCUGUUGUAAGAGAAGAACGAGUAUGAGAGUGGAAAGUUCACACUGUGACGGUAUCUUACCAGAAAGGGACGGCUAACUACGUG